rnacentral:rRNA from 1 species
UUAAGCGACUAAGCGUACACGGUGGAUGCCCUGGCAGUCAGAGGCGAUGAAGGACGUGCUAAUCUGCGAUAAGCGUCGGUAAGGUGAUAUGAACCGUUAUAACCGGCGAUUUCCGAAUGGGGAAACCCAGUGUGUUUCGACACACUAUCAUUAACUGAAUCCAUAGGUUAAUGAGGCGAACCGGGGGAACUGAAACAUCUAAGUACCCCGAGGAAAAGAAAUCAACCGAGAUUCUCCCAGUAGCGGCGAGCGAACGGGGAGCAGCCCAGAGCCUGAAUCAGUGUGUGUGUUAGUGGAAGCGUCUGGAAAGGCGCGCGAUACAGGGUGACAGCCCCGUACACAAAAAUGCACAUGCUGUGAGCUCGAUGAGUAGGGCGGGACACGUGGUAUCCUGUCUGAAUAUGGGGGGACCAUCCUCCAAGGCUAAAUACUCCUGACUGACCGAUAGUGAACCAGUACCGUGAGGGAAAGGCGAAAAGAACCCCGGCGAGGGGAGUGAAAAAGAACCUGAAACCGUGUACGUACAAGCAGUGGGAGCACGCUUAGGCGUGUGACUGCGUACCUUUUGUAUAAUGGGUCAGCGACUUAUAUUCUGUAGCAAGGUUAACCGAAUAGGGGAGCCGAAGGGAAACCGAGUCUUAACUGGGCGUUAAGUUGCAGGGUAUAGACCCGAAACCCGGUGAUCUAGCCAUGGGCAGGUUGAAGGUUGGGUAACACUAACUGGAGGACCGAACCGACUAAUGUUGAAAAAUUAGCGGAUGACUUGUGGCUGGGGGUGAAAGGCCAAUCAAACCGGGAGAUAGCUGGUUCUCCCCGAAAGCUAUUUAGGUAGCGCCUCGUGAAUUCAUCUCCGGGGGUAGAGCACUGUUUCGGCAAGGGGGUCAUCCCGACUUACCAACCCGAUGCAAACUGCGAAUACCGGAGAAUGUUAUCACGGGAGACACACGGCGGGUGCUAACGUCCGUCGUGAAGAGGGAAACAACCCAGACCGCCAGCUAAGGUCCCAAAGUCAUGGUUAAGUGGGAAACGAUGUGGGAAGGCCCAGACAGCCAGGAUGUUGGCUUAGAAGCAGCCAUCAUUUAAAGAAAGCGUAAUAGCUCACUGGUCGAGUCGGCCUGCGCGGAAGAUGUAACGGGGCUAAACCAUGCACCGAAGCUGCGGCAGCGACGCUUAUGCGUUGUUGGGUAGGGGAGCGUUCUGUAAGCCUGUGAAGGUGUGCUGUGAGGCAUGCUGGAGGUAUCAGAAGUGCGAAUGCUGACAUAAGUAACGAUAAAGCGGGUGAAAAGCCCGCUCGCCGGAAGACCAAGGGUUCCUGUCCAACGUUAAUCGGGGCAGGGUGAGUCGACCCCUAAGGCGAGGCCGAAAGGCGUAGUCGAUGGGAAACAGGUUAAUAUUCCUGUACUUGGUGUUACUGCGAAGGGGGGACGGAGAAGGCUAUGUUGGCCGGGCGACGGUUGUCCCGGUUUAAGCGUGUAGGCUGGUUUUCCAGGCAAAUCCGGAAAAUCAAGGCUGAGGCGUGAUGACGAGGCACUACGGUGCUGAAGCAACAAAUGCCCUGCUUCCAGGAAAAGCCUCUAAGCAUCAGGUAACAUCAAAUCGUACCCCAAACCGACACAGGUGGUCAGGUAGAGAAUACCAAGGCGCUUGAGAGAACUCGGGUGAAGGAACUAGGCAAAAUGGUGCCGUAACUUCGGGAGAAGGCACGCUGAUAUGUAGGUGAAGUCCCUCGCGGAUGGAGCUGAAAUCAGUCGAAGAUACCAGCUGGCUGCAACUGUUUAUUAAAAACACAGCACUGUGCAAACACGAAAGUGGACGUAUACGGUGUGACGCCUGCCCGGUGCCGGAAGGUUAAUUGAUGGGGUUAGCCGCAAGGCGAAGCUCUUGAUCGAAGCCCCGGUAAACGGCGGCCGUAACUAUAACGGUCCUAAGGUAGCGAAAUUCCUUGUCGGGUAAGUUCCGACCUGCACGAAUGGCGUAAUGAUGGCCAGGCUGUCUCCACCCGAGACUCAGUGAAAUUGAACUCGCUGUGAAGAUGCAGUGUACCCGCGGCAAGACGGAAAGACCCCGUGAACCUUUACUAUAGCUUGACACUGAACAUUGAGCCUUGAUGUGUAGGAUAGGUGGGAGGCUUAGAAGUGUGGACGCCAGUCUGCAUGGAGCCGACCUUGAAAUACCACCCUUUAAUGUUUGAUGUUCUAACGUUGACCCGUAAUCCGGGUUGCGGACAGUGUCUGGUGGGUAGUUUGACUGGGGCGGUCUCCUCCUAAAGAGUAACGGAGGAGCACGAAGGUUGGCUAAUCCUGGUCGGACAUCAGGAGGUUAGUGCAAUGGCAUAAGCCAGCUUGACUGCGAGCGUGACGGCGCGAGCAGGUGCGAAAGCAGGUCAUAGUGAUCCGGUGGUUCUGAAUGGAAGGGCCAUCGCUCAACGGAUAAAAGGUACUCCGGGGAUAACAGGCUGAUACCGCCCAAGAGUUCAUAUCGACGGCGGUGUUUGGCACCUCGAUGUCGGCUCAUCACAUCCUGGGGCUGAAGUAGGUCCCAAGGGUAUGGCUGUUCGCCAUUUAAAGUGGUACGCGAGCUGGGUUUAGAACGUCGUGAGACAGUUCGGUCCCUAUCUGCCGUGGGCGCUGGAGAACUGAGGGGGGCUGCUCCUAGUACGAGAGGACCGGAGUGGACGCAUCACUGGUGUUCGGGUUGUCAUGCCAAUGGCACUGCCCGGUAGCUAAAUGCGGAAGAGAUAAGUGCUGAAAGCAUCUAAGCACGAAACUUGCCCCGAGAUGAGUUCUCCCUGACUCCUUGAGAGUCCUGAAGGAACGUUGAAGACGACGACGUUGAUAGGCCGGGUGUGUAAGCGCAGCGAUGCGUUGAGCUAACCGGUACUAAUGAACCGUGAGGCUUAACCUU